rnacentral:rRNA from 1 species
ACGUAGGGAGCAAGCGUUGUUCGGAUUUACUGGGCGUAAAGGGCGCGUAGGCGGCGCGGUAAGUCACUUGUGAAAUCUCUGAGCUUAACUCAGAACGGCCAAGUGAUACUGCAGUGCUAGAGUGCAGAAGGGGCAAUCGGAAUUCUUGGUGUAGCGGUGAAAUGCGUAGAUAUCGGGAGGAACACCAGUGGCGAAGGCGGCUUCCUGGCCUGUUCUUGACGCUGAGGCUCGAAAGCGUGGGGAGCAAACAGGA